rnacentral:rRNA from 1 species
GACGAACGCUGGCGGCGCGCCUAACACAUGCAAGUCGAACGAACAAGAGAGAGCUUUCUUCCUCGAGCGAUUGGCGAACGGGGGAGUAACGCGUGAGGAACCUGCCUCUAAGAGGGGGACAACACUUCGAAACGACGGCUCAUACCCCAUAAGCUAUCUUCACGCCCUCGGUCCGGGGGAAAAUGAGCACUCUGCUUUCAGAUGUCCGUGCGUCCGAUUAGCUUGUUCGAGGGGUAACGGCACACCAAGGCGACGGUCGGUAGCCGUACUGUGAGGUUGAACCGAGACACUGGGACGGAGACGCAGCACAGAAUCCUACGGGAGGGAGCAGUGGGGAAUAGUGCACCGUGGGGGAAACGAUGAAGCAGCGACGAUGCGUGGAGGAAGAAGGUAUUCGGAUUGUAAACUCCUGUUGUUGAGGAAGAUAAUGACGGUACCCAACAAGGAAGUGACGGCUAACUACGUG